rnacentral:rRNA from 1 species
UACGGAGGAUGCGAGCGUUAUCCGGAUUUAUUGGGUUUAAAGGGUGCGUAGGUUGUUUUUUAAGUCAGCGGUGAAAGUUUGUGGCUCAACCAUAAAAUUGCCGUUGAAACUGGCAGACUUGAGUGUGGUAGAGGCAAGUGGAAUUUCUAGUGUAGCGGUUAAAUGCGUAGAUAUUAGAAGGAACACCAGUGGCGAAGGCGGCUUGCUGGGCCAUUACUGACGCUGAGACACGAAAGCGUGGGGAGCAAAUAGG